rnacentral:tRNA from 1 species
GGAAGGGUGUCCGAGUGGUUUAAGGAGCACGCCUGGAAAGUGUGUGUGGGCGAAAACCCACCGCGGGUUCGAAUCCCGCCUCUUCCGCCA